GGGACUGUGGCGGCAGGCUAACACAUGCAGUCGAGCGGUAGCACAGAGAGAGCUUGCUCCUUGGCGUGACGAGUGGCGGACGGGUGAGUAAUGUCUGGGAAACUGCCCGAUGGAGGGGGAUAACUACUGGAAACGGUAGCUAAUACCGCAUAACGUCGCAAGACCAAAGAGGGGGACCUUCGGGCCUCUUGCCAUCGGAUGUGCCCAGAUGGGAUUAGCUAGUAGGUGGGGUAACGGCUCACCUAGGCGACGAUCCCUAGCUGGUCUGAGAGGAUGACCAGCCACACUGGAACUGAGACACGGUCCAGACUCCUACGGGAGGCAGCAGUGGGGAAUAUUGCACAAUGGGCGCAAGCCUGAUGCAGCCAUGCCGCGUGUAUGAAGAAGGCCUUCGGGUUGUAAAGUACUUUCAGCGAGGAGGAAGGUGUUGUGGUUAAUAACCGCAGCAAUUGACGUUACUCGCAGAAGAAGCACCGGCUAACUCUGUGCCAGCAGCCGCA
rnacentral:rRNA from 1 species